CACAGAACACUUCUCAACAUUUAAACAGAAGAACACUUAUUGACAAUUCCAAGGAGAUUGUCAAUUCUGGGGCAAGUUAUCAAGAAUAAUGG